rnacentral:rRNA from 1 species
GACGAACGCUGGCGGCGUGCUUAACACAUGCAAGUCGAACGGUGAAGCGCCUUCCUUUUUGGUGGGUGUGGAUGAGUGGCGAACGGGUGAGUAACACGUGAGUAACCUGCCCCCUUCUUCUGGAUAACCGCAUGAAAGUGUUGCUAAUACGGGAUAUUCUGGGUCUGUCGCAUGAUGGGUCUGGGAAAGAUAUUGUUUCGGUGGGGGAUGGGCUCGCGGCCUAUCAGCUUGUUGGUGGGGUGAUGGCCUACCAAGGCGGUGACGGGUAGCCGGCCUGAGAGGGUGGACGGUCACACUGGGAAUGAGACACGGCCCAGACUCCUACGGGAGGCAGCAGUGGGGAAUAUUGCACAAUGGGAGCAAGCCUGAUGCAGCGACGCCGCGUGAGGGAUGGAGGCCUUCGGGUUGUGAACCUCUUUCGCCAGUGAAGCAGGCCUGCCUCGUUUGUGGGUGGGUUGACGGUAGCUGGAUAAGAAGCGCCGGCUAACUACGUG